GCCGCGCCGCACGCCCAGCGGCCGCCCGGACCCGCCGGCCGGAGCUGACCCAGUGGGCCACGGGCUCCGGACUCCAGAACUUUCCAAGCGGGGGCAACUUGGCGGCGGGUAGGUAGGAAAGGCAGGAUUGCUGUCACGUCUAAUGUGGCUGCUGCCUCGUGUCACAUCUGAAACUCAUCUGUACCUCACUUAGAAAGUCGACAGAAACCUAAUGGGACCAUUGAAGAAUUCCAAACAGGUAUUUGCAUAGGAAUCAGAGGAGUUAAUCUUGUCUCUUCUCACAGGUUUGAAUCUUCAGACAAACUUCUGGGAGGACUCGGUCCCUGCCUCGCAGCAGAUGUUCCCUGUCACUCAGUAGCCAAUCCGGGGGACCCAGGACAUGCCCCAGCUAUAGUGAUGCAGAUUACCUUUCUGCUCCUGAAUCGCACCUGUGCCUCAGACUUUCUCCCCUCAGCUUGAGACUGCAUGUAAACUGGGAUGUGUGAAAGCAGGAAGCAAAGCUAGUGACAGCUGAGAGGUCCAUGUCUGGGUAGAACCAGGCCCACGAUGCUGCCUCUCC
rnacentral:sRNA from 1 species